rnacentral:rRNA from 1 species
ACAUAUCAAUAAGCGGAGGAAAAGAAACCAACAGGGAUUGCCUCAGUAACGGCGAGUGAAGCGGCAACAGCUCAAAUUUGAAAUCUGGCUCUUUCAGGGUCCGAGUUGUAAUUUGUAGAGGAUGUUUCGGGUGUGGCUCCGGUCUAAGUUCCUUGGAACAGGACGUCAUAGAGGGUGAGAAUCCCGUAUGUGACUGGUAGCCUAUGCUCAUGUGAAACUCCUUCGACGAGUCGAGUUGUUUGGGAAUGCAGCUCAAAAUGGGUGGUAAAUUUCAUCUAAAGCUAAAUAUUGGCCAGAGACCGAUAGCGCACAAGUAGAGUGAUCGAAAGAUGAAAAGCACUUUGGAAAGAGAGUUAAACAGUACGUGAAAUUGUUGAAAGGGAAGCGCUUGCAACCAGACUUGCAUGUAGCUGAUCAACCGGUGUUCUCACCGGUGCACUCAGUUGCGUUCAGGCCAGCAUCGGUUUCGACGGUUGGAUAAAGGCCUUGGGAAUGUAGCUUCUUUCGGGGAGUGUUAUAGCCCAGGGUGCAAUGCAGCCUGUCGGGACCGAGGACCGCGCUUCGGCUAGGAUGCUGGCGUAAUGGUUGUAAGCGACCCGUCUUGAAACACGGACCAAGGAGUCUAACAUCUAUGCGAGUGUUUGGGUGUCAAACCCAUACGCGUAAUGAAAGUGAACGGAGGUGAGAACCCUUAAGGGUGCAUCAUCGACCGAUCCUGAUGUCUUCGGAUGGAUUUGAGUAAGAGCAUAGCUGUUGGGACCCGAAAGAUGGUGAACUAUGCCUGAAUAGGGUGAAGCCAGAGGAAACUCUGGUGGAGGCUCGCAGCGGUUCUGACGUGCAAAUCGAUCGUCAAAUUUGGGUAUAGGGGCGAAAGACUAAUCGAACCAUCUAGUAGCUGGUUCCGGCGAUU